CAGUAUUAUUAAUCACAAUGAAUAUGUUUAAAGAUUAUGUUUUACUAAGACGGGAGAAAUUAGACCUCAUGCAACUGAAAUAACUGAAGAACAAUUCUCCACUGGACUGGUUUCUAUGUGCUGCCAAAGUGAUACACACUAAACACAUACUGGCAGGAAGAGAACCGGGCUCUAAUUAUGGUUCUGCUGCUGCUGCUGCUGCUGCUGCUAAGUCACUUCAGUCGUGACCGACUCUUCGAGACCCCAUAGACGGCAGCCCACCAGGCUCCCCCGUCCCUGGGAUUCUCCAGGCAAGAACACUGGAGUGGGUUGCCAUUUCCUUCUCCAAUGCAUGAAAGCGAAAAGUGAAAGUGAAGUUGCUCAGUCGUGUCGGACUCUUAGUGACCCCAUGGACUGCAGCCCACCAGGCUCCUCCGUCCAUGGGAUUUUCCAGGCAAGAGUACUGGAGUGGGG
ensembl:lncRNA